rnacentral:rRNA from 1 species
UACGAAGGGGGCUAGCGUUGUUCGGAAUUACUGGGCGUAAAGCGCGUGUAGGCGGGUCCUUAAGUCAGGGGUGAAAUGCCAAGGCUCAACCUUGGAACGGCCUUUGAUACUGGGAAUCUUGAGUCCGGGAGAGGUGAGUGGAACUGCGAGUGUAGAGGUGAAAUUCGUAGAUAUUCGCAAGAACACCAGUGGCGAAGGCGGCUUACUGGUCCGGUUCUGACGCUGAGGCGGCGAAAAGCGUGGGGAGCAAACAGGAUU